UACGGAGGGUGCGAGCGUUGUCCGGAAUCACUGGGCGUAAAGGGCGCGUAGGCGGCCUGAUAAGUAGGGGGUGAAAUCCUGCGGCUUAACCGCAGGGCUGCCUUCUAAACUGUCAGGCUGGAGCACAGUAGAGGCAGAUGGAAUUCCCGGUGUAGCGGUGGAAUGCGUAGAGAUGGAGACGACGAAGCAGCCGUAGGCGGAACGACUUGCUGGUUC
rnacentral:rRNA from 1 species